AGAAUCAUUGCUUAUUUAUAGGCAACAAUCAACCUUAGUGUGAACAGGUGAACAGGAGGCAGCUGCAACUUUUCCUUGCUUGUUCAAGCUUGGUUCUUUUUUUUCAAAUAUGGUGGCCACUGAUCAGGGAGGAAAGUACUAUAAAAAUGAUGGCCUAUUCUCUUGCAGGCUUUCCCAGAAUUUCCGCGUGUGCAAGUGGAGUCUUCUUCUUCAUGGUUGCGGCUUCUCUUAGAAUUUUCACGUCCCCCAUUUAAUGCGUGCAUGUGCAGGCAUUAAUGAGGGAGAGACAAUGGACGUGAAGCACUCUUCUUUCUUCUAUUUUUCUGACUUUCAUUGUGUGUUUUCAUACCAGCAAGAGAGA
rnacentral:lncRNA from 1 species